rnacentral:rRNA from 1 species
UCGCCUGUUUAUCAAAAACAUGGUCUCUUGUAAGUGAGUAAGAGAUUUAACCUGCCCACUGAAGAUAAUUUUGAAGGGCCGCAGUAUUUUGACUGUGCAAAGGUAGCAUAAUCAUUAGUCUUUUAAUUGAGGGCUAGUAUGAAUGGUUGGACGAGGUAAAUUCUGUCUUAUAUUAAUUGAUAAUUGAAUUUAGAUUUUGAGUAAAAAGACUUAAAUAAUUUUAAGGGACGAGAAGACCCUAUAGAGUUUAAUAAAUGUAGUUUUAAUUAAGUUUAAGUGUAAUUUUUGAUUAUUAUGAAAUUUAUUUAAUUGGGGUGAUUGGAAAAUAGGAUUAACUUUUCUUUAUAUUAAAUACUUUAAGUAGUAAUAUGAUCCACAUUUUGUGAUUAUAAGAUUAAAUUACCUUAGGGAUAACAGCAUAAUUCUUUUUGAGAGUUCAUAUCGAAAAGAGGGAUUGUGACCUCGAUGUUGGAUUAAGAUAUAUUUUGGGUGCAGAUGUUCAAAUAUUAAGUCUGUUCGACUUUUAAAAUCUUACAUG